AAUUGAAGAGUUUGAUCAUGGCUCAGAUUGAACGCUGGCGGCAGGCCUAACACAUGCAAGUCGAACGGUAACAGGAAGCAGCUUGCUGCUUUGCUGACGAGUGGCGGACGGGUGAGUAAUGUCUGGGAAACUGCCCGAUGGAGGGGGAUAACUACUGGAAACGGUAGCUAAUACCGCAUAACGUCGCAAGACCAAAGAGGGGGACCUUAGGGCCUCUUGCCAUCGGAUGUGCCAGAUGGGAUUAGCUAGUAGGUGGGGUAACGGCUCACCUAGGCGACGAUCCCUAGCUGGUCUGAGAGGAUGACCAGCCACACUGGAACUGAGACACGGUCCAGACUCCUACGGGAGGCAGCAGUGGGGAAUAUUGCACAAUGGGCGCAAGCCUGAUGCAGCCAUGCCGCGUGUAUGAAGAAGGCCUUCGGGUUGUAAAGUACUUUCAGCGGGGAGGAAGGGAGUAAAGUUAAUACCUUUGCUCAUUGACGUUACCCGCAGAAGAAGCACCGGCUAACUCCGUGCCAGCAGCCGCGGUAAUACGGAGGGUGCAAGCGUUAAUCGGAAUUACUGGGCGUAAAGCGCACGCAGGCGGUUUGUUAAGUCAGAUGUGAAAUCCCCGGGCUCAACCUGGGAACUGCAUCUGAUACUGGCAAGCUUGAGUCUCGUAGAGGGGGGUAGAAUUCCAGGUGUAGCGGUGAAAUGCGUAGAGAUCUGGAGGAAUACCGGUGGCGAAGGCGGCCCCCUGGACGAAGACUGACGCUCAGGUGCGAAAGCGUGGGGAGCAAACAGGAUUAGAUACCCUGGUAGUCCACGCCGUAAACGAUGUCGACUUGGAGGUUGUGCCCUUGAGGCGUGGCUUCCGGAGCUAACGCGUUAAGUCGACCGCCUGGGGAGUACGGCCGCAAGGUUAAAACUCAAAUGAAUUGACGGGGGCCCGCACAAGCGGUGGAGCAUGUGGUUUAAUUCGAUGCAACGCGAAGAACCUUACCUGGUCUUGACAUCCACGGAAGUUUUCAGAGAUGAGAAUGUGCCUUCGGGAACCGUGAGACAGGUGCUGCAUGGCUGUCGUCAGCUCGUGUUGUGAAAUGUUGGGUUAAGUCCCGCAACGAGCGCAACCCUUAUCCUUUGUUGCCAGCGGUCCGGCCGGGAACUCAAAGGAGACUGCCAGUGAUAAACUGGAGGAAGGUGGGGAUGACGUCAAGUCAUCAUGGCCCUUACGACCAGGGCUACACACGUGCUACAAUGGCGCAUACAAAGAGAAGCGACCUCGCGAGAGCAAGCGGACCUCAUAAAGUGCGUCGUAGUCCGGAUUGGAGUCUGCAACUCGACUCCAUGAAGUCGGAAUCGCUAGUAAUCGUGGAUCAGAAUGCCACGGUGAAUACGUUCCCGGGCCUUGUACACACCGCCCGUCACACCAUGGGAGUGGGUUGCAAAAGAAGUAGGUAGCUUAACCUUCGGGAGGGCGCUUACCACUUUGUGAUUCAUGACUGGGGUGAAGUCGUAACAAGGUAACCGUAGGGGAACCUGCGGUUGGAUCACCUCCUUA
rnacentral:rRNA from 1 species